rnacentral:lncRNA from 1 species
CUAGAGCAAGAAUUAUGAAAACCCUGACAUCUGCAGAGGCUGCACCGCAGUAAAUGCUGAACGGCCACUUCGGAUUAACCAUGCAGCUUAGUGUGCAGUGGACAUGGAUGGUUGAGUGAUGCAGUGAGCUCCGAAUCACACAGAAAAUACCAGAACCCAGUGAUGGCAGAGAUAAUGGAAGCGAAUCAUACAGCUGAAGCUGACAUGUAAAAACCACAAUGGGGGACCCACAAUGCUUUGCUUGUGUGCUUGCCUAAGCCGGUCCUGAAGGACUCCUAUGCACUCCCGAGUGUCGCAAAAGGC